rnacentral:rRNA from 1 species
AACGAACGCUGGCGGCAGGCUUAACACAUGCAAGUCGAACGCCCCGCAAGGGGAGCGGCAGACGGGUGAGUAACGCGUGGGAACCUACCCAGUUCUACGGAACAACUGAGGGAAACUUCAGCUAAUACCGUAUACGCCCUACGGGGGAAAGAUUUAUCGGAAUUGGAUGAGCCCGCGUUGGAUUAGCUAGUUGGUGAGGUAACGGCUCACCAAGGCGACGAUCCAUAGCUGGUCUGAGAGGAUGAUCAGCCACACUGGGACUGAGACACGGCCCAGACUCCUACGGGAGGCAGCAGUGGGGAAUAUUGGACAAUGGGCGCAACCCUGUUCCAGCCAGGCCGCGUGAGUGAUGAAGGCCUUAGAGUUGUAAGGCUCUUUCAGUGGGGACGAUGAUGACGGUACCCUCAGAAGAAGCCCCGGCUAACUUCGUGCCAGCCGCCGCGGUAACAC